UGUUCAUCUGGCUAAAGGCGACUCUAUCAGGAGCUGGAGUCUACAGCUCAAUUUUAUGGUGGAGCAGCUGGGCUGCCUUGGUGUGACCUGAGUGAAGCAGCUCUUUUACUGCUUGAUUAAAAGGACAAGCAGCUGUCAGGUCAGCCCCCCCAUUGCAGAGCUUGAAGCCAUCAAGAGCAGGGAUAUAUUUGCCUUGUUCUAAGGGCAAGUUUUCAGCCGACUGGGGAGAUCACAUAAAUACCUUCAGGCCAGCGUGUCUGAGUCAUCAGUGAGUGACCUUCUGACAGGCAGAAACCACAAAAUGGGACUUAUGGAGCCAGCGAAGCGGGCUGGCCAGCUCUGGUUCAGCCGAAGCAAUCGACAGGAAGGGAAGAAUUCGUUCAUGUUUGCACUUCUACAUGGCCACAGGAUGUGAACUUCCUGGGAUGAAGAGGGAAGAAGAUGCUUCUCUGUUUCCAGGUGGAAGAUUCAGGAACUCCAUGUUUCCUAGAGGCUUUCUGGACCAAGCGGCACAUCCUUGUCAGAGUGUAUAGCUCAAC